rnacentral:rRNA from 1 species
GCGAAGGAAAUAAGGGCGUACAGUGGAUGCCUUGGCACUAAGAGCCGAUGAAGG